UCCUACUGCAUAGUAAAGUUUCAAAACUGUAUUAAGUCAAUGUUCAGUUGCAGACUUUUGAAAGACCAACCAUAACGUUUUGUUCAGAGUUACGAACAAUCUCUGUUUCUGAGGUGUUCAUAACUGAGAUUCUACUGUCUUUUAUAAGAAAGUAGUUCCUUGUAGCUGAGAAUCUCUGGCCAAGUUCUAACUCUAAGAGUACUAGAAUCAUAUAUGCUAAACUUUGCAGCAGCUAAUAACUGCAGCCUGGGUAUUCUGCAGCUGCAGAGUUUAUGCCGUAUCCACCCCUAGAAAGAGGGUGUGAUAUGAACCUAGUUUAAUAAAGAUGAAUCCAUUCCCAGUCCAAAAAUACUCAAUUGUCUUAAGUGUAAAAACCCCAAACCAUUUUCUGCUCCUUUGUGGCAGUGUAAAGCUCCAUAUGUCCCACCCAAAACCUCUAGGUUCCCCCUAGAAAUUUGUACAAUGCAAUUACUCAUUUGAAGAACAAAAUUUUAUGUCACAGUGAAAAUUUGCACCAAAAAUAAGGUGAAUUUAAUGUAAAAGUAGAUCAGGUUACUGAUUAUAUUGUCAUCUAAGAGAAUGAAAACCAUCAAUUUUCUAAUUUAACUCUGCAGCAUCAGAGUGUGUUAAAAAGCAGAGGUCCUUUUUUUCCCCAGAUUUUAUUUCUAGCUUGCCACAAGAAAUAUGUGAUCGUGACUCUAAACAUUUUUUACUCUGUUGGAUGGUUCCACUCAUUUCGUCUGUGGCUGCCUCAUUGGUAACCUGUCUUCUUUCCCUUUUUUUUUUUCUGCCACAAUGAAGCUUUUGACUCUCUUGCAUAUAAGGCAGAACAAUACAACUUCAUAGUAUUAUCUGCUUUAUAUUGAUUCUCAGAGAAGCGGAGUUGAUAGGAGAUGCCAAAGAAUUAUUGUCUUUGCCAUAUGUUAUUGCUCAGAUUCUUCAGUUGCCCUAUAUGCCCUGUUGGAACUCUGUCAAAUAGCAUACCAGCCUAUCCAGUGACAAAUGUGAUGUGCAGUGGACAUAUCCAUGCUUAUGAAGAGCUCCUGUCCUUAAACAUGAUGUGGUCUAGGUCAGGGUCUGAUUCUUAAGAAGCUCCAUUGACUUUUCAUCUGCUGCCCCCUAUUACUACUUGUGGUGUGUCUCAGCUUCCUCCUAUGCUCUAGGUUUCUUCUCUACUCUUUCUAGAGUGCCUGCCUUCUUUGGAAUCUUUUGGUCUUGGUUAGCCUGCAUCAGCUCUAUCAUACUCACUGUCUAUGGAGUUUGGGCCAACUUCAUUAGUAGGGCACCAAUAGCACUGUAUUUGUUCUCCAUCACUGCUAUGAUUGGCACCUUAAGAUGGACUGCUAGCUCUUCAUCCUUCUGGGCUUUCCCUCAGGUGGUCAUUUUGUUCCUGAGCAAUUGUUAAGGGGCAAAUUUUCUAGAAUUACCAGUUGUCUUCACCACCAGUACUGCCACCAUUCAUCAUUCGCUUGGGUUGUAAGCAAGUGAUGUCCAAGAGGGAUCUGGAUGUUGUAUGAUUAAAUUUACAUAAUCUAUAUGGGACCUUUUACUGUUUCCAGUUCUGGAGAUUUUAAGCUUUACCCCCCCCCCCAUCCCUGGCCCUCAGCAAGGUGGACAUUUGGUCCUCUUUUUGCUAAGAGCUCCCUGCUUUCUCGUUGUCUGACUAGCUGAGAACCCUGCUUUUAUACAAACCUUUUGAACACAGUCUCUGGUAGCUGCCAUUUACACAGGGCAGAGAGAAGCAGCUGCAGCGCUAAGAGUCAUUUUAAUUCUCACUAUAACUUAUUUUUCAGCUAUUAAGGACUGUUUUCCCUUUUCCCUUAUUUCAGGGGAAGUGUUACAUUCUCACAACAUAGUAUUUACUUUACUUUUAUUUGCACUGAUUACUUGUUUUAAGUUAGCAACAUACUCAGCACUGUACAGGACAAAAAUAAAGACAAUGCCUGUACUGAAGAGUAUAAUCUAAAAUAUAUUGGGCUACAAUGUGGGGAAUUUUUAAAUAAAAAGUUUGAUCAUAAUCAUUUUGAUCGUGCCGCAAAAUGUAGUGGGUACUUUGCUGUACGAACAGCCCUAGUCCUUGCUCCUAAGAAUAGUGAUGCAAUGAGUGCAUGUAUCAAAUAGUAGGAAGAUCUGGGGUAAGGAAGGAGAAGCAAAAAGAUCCUGAUUACACAGGUGAGGCACGUGCCUUGGUGGGUCAAUUAAGAAGAAAUGUAACCUAAUGAUCUUGUGCUCACCUGUAUUACACAGGCUACAAAGGAAUCUAAUAAAGAUGAAGUGAUGUCACUCACCACUGACUCACAAUAUAAGAAUUGUGCACAAAGCCUGAGAAACAGAUUGGGAAUGGAAGGGAAUAGGGAUAAAACAGCCAAUCCUGCAUUGCCAGAGACAACACUUUCAGCCUUCGACUGUCACAAAGUUGCAGCCCAGCACAACCACUCAGUCAGUCAAAACCAAGAAAACUUUCUGAUCUGCCUUCCUCACGUGUUACCAGAUUUCACGUUCUGCCGUCCUCCCAGUCUACAUUCUCACUUGUUGCUGUAACGCCUGACAUUCCCUGUUGCUAGAGGCCUGAACUGUCACAUGCAUGUGACAACAAUUAACAGCUAAUUUUAGUCCCUUGUGGCACAUGUGGUUGCACAAGGAGAACCUUUGUAGCCUUCAAUCUUGUCAUAAAUAUGGUGUAAUUCCUGGUUGGUUUGAUUACAAAUGGUGCCCUUUAAGCAGUCUUGCAUGUUCUUGGAAAUAUGGUGGUGAUCAACUCUGACUAUUAACAGGUUCUUAAACUGAGUUCAUCACCAUAGCAUCCAAGCAUCCUGUAACAAGACAUCUUGAAGGCUUCUGUGCUCCAACCUCUGGCAUCUCAUUGACCACAUUAUCAUCAGGAGAAGAGACAGACAGGAUGUUUGAAUGACAAAGGCCAUGAGAAGUGCAGAAUGUUGAGGUGAUCACAGGCUUAUAGUCUCAAAGCUGAAUAUCCGGCUACAUCCUAGUAGGCAACCACCAGGUGGUAAGGCAUCCAAAAAGCUUAAUGUCUCCUAUAGACUGAAACAGGAGAAUGUGGAACAGAUUUUUCUUGAACUGCGCAGCCAACUUGUAACAAUUGAUGCAAACUCUAAUAACAAGGAAAAUUGGACAUCCUUUAGAGAGACUGUGUACUUGGCUGCAUCCAAUACCCUCGGUUCCAUCACAUGUGAACAUCAAACUUGGCUUGAUGAAAAUGAUACUGACGUAGUGAGACUGUUGAAUGAGAAACAUUUGACUCCAGAAGGCCUGUUUAGGAGACGCACUUCAACAUCUAAGAGGGUAGCCUUCAACAACAUCAAGAGGACUGUCCAACGUAAACUUAGAGAGAUGCAAAACUCAUGGCUGAGUAACAAGGCAGAUGAGAUUCAAUCCUACAGACAGAAAUGACGUGAAAUACUUCUAUGAUGCUCUGAGGACAAUCUACGGGCCAUGGUCAUUGGGAACAUCUCCAGUACUGAUUGAUUAGUGUGGUACCAUCAGCACUGAUAAAGAAAAGAUGCUGCAAAGGUGAGCCGAACACUUUAACCACAUCCUCUAUAAAUAAUAAUCUAUUAGUGAGGAGGCAAUUGAUUGCCCCAGAUCAAUAUCAACAUACCUCUUGCUGAUCUCCCAAUGCUGAUUGAAACUGUGAAAGUGAUUGAGCAGAUGCUAUACCAGCAGAAGUCUAAAAGGCCAGAGGCUCACACAUGACUCUGAAAUUGACUGAAUUUUUCCAAUCAAUGUGGAGUCAAGGAACUAUAUCCCAGGAGUACAAGGAUGCAUCCAUCGUCCACUUGUAUAAACAGAAAGACAAUAGACAAUCCUAUAACCACUAUUGGGGCAUCUCACUGUUGUCAGUAGCCAGCAAAAUUCUCUUCAGAAUUCUGCUGAAUUGCCUUGUGCAAUACAUUGAAGUGUUCCUGCCUGAGAGUCAGCGUGGCUUCAGGAAAGGAUGCAGGACUAUAGAUAUGGUAUUUGCAGCUUGUCAACUUCAGGAGAGAUGCCAGGAACAGAACUCCAACCUGUACAUGACUUUCAUUGACCUGACAAAAGCAUUUGAUACAGUCAGUCAGGAGGGCCUUUGGAAGAACAUGGCAAAAUUUGGUUGCCCAGAGAAAUUCAUCGCAGUGGUUUGGCAAUUCCAUGAUGGCAUUCUCGCUCGCAUUGUGAACGGUGGUGAGUCAUCUGAACCAUUCCCAGUCACCAAUUCAGUCAAGUAGGGCUGCGUGUUGGCCUCAACUGUCUUCAGUAUGAUGCUUUCUGCCAUGCUUACAGAUGCCUUUCAUGACUGUGACACUAGGAUUGGCAUCAGAUACCGGACUAAUGGCAAACUAGUCAAUUUGAGGAGACUACAGGCAAAGACAAAUGUAGAGGAAGUGACUGUUGGUGAUCUUCUGUUUGCUGAUGACUGUUCCCUGAAUGCCAAAUCUGAGUCCAACCUGCGCUGGAGUAUGGACUAUUUCUCCACUCCUGACAACUUUGGUCUCUCAAUUAUCAGGAAGCCAGAAGUGAUGUGUUUUGGCCUGCACCUUACGUAGAGCCUACUAUCACUAUGAAUGGUCAAACCCUCCAGGCAGUGAAGUAGGUGAACUUGUCCAACAGUACACCGUCAUGUGCACUUCACAAUGAUGAUGAAACCAAUGCCAGAAUUGCCAAAGCAAGUGUGGCCUUUGGCAGACUACGUGUAAUUGUGUGGGAGUGUAGAGGCAAUAGUCAACAAACAAAUCUGAAAGUCUACAAAGACAUUGCAUUGCCAACUCUGAUGUAAAACCUGGAUGGUGUACAGAUGCCAGUCCUGUGAAGCUGAAUCACUUUCACAUGGUCUGUUUGAAGAAACUGAUGAGGAUAAGACUGCAAGACAAGGCUCUAGAUACUGAGGUUUUCAUGUGGGCAUGCAUUCCAAGCAUCCAUACUCUGAUGAAAUCACAGAUGAGGUGGUGAGGUCAUGUCACCAGAAGUCAGAUGAGUGACUGCCAAAGAAGGUGUGUGUGGUGUGUUU